rnacentral:rRNA from 1 species
UACGGGGGGGCAAGCGUUGUUCGGAAUUACUGGGCGUAAAGGGCUCGUAGGUGGCCAACUAAGUCAUACGUGAAAUCCCCCGGCUCAACCGGGGAACGGCUGGGUAUACUGGCGGCCUUGAGGCACCCAGGGGCGAGCGGAACAGGCGGUGGAGCGGUGAAAUUCGUAGAUAUUCGCAAGAACACCAGUGGCGAAGGCGGCUCACUGGUCCGAUACUGACGCUGAGGCACGAAAGCGUGGGGAGCAA